ACUGAAAUAGCUCAGUUGCUAGAGCGUCAGACCAUAAAUCGAAAGGUCCUUGGUUCGAUCCUCAGUUACGGCA
rnacentral:tRNA from 1 species